UACGAAGGGGGCUAGCGUUGCUCGGAAUCACUGGGCGUAAAGGGUGCGUAGGCGGGUCUUUAAGUCAGGGGUGAAAUCCUGGAGCUCAACUCCAGAACUGCCUUUGAUACUGAGGAUCUUGAGUACGGGAGAGGUGAGUGGAACUGCGAGUGUAGAGGUGAAAUUCGUAGAUAUUCGCAAGAACACCAGUGGCGAAGGCGACUUCCUGGCCUGUUCUUGACGCUGAGGCGCGAAAGCUAGGGGAGCAAACGGGG
rnacentral:rRNA from 1 species